rnacentral:rRNA from 1 species
GUGGGGAAUAUUGGGCAAUGGGCGAAAGCCUGACCCAGCAACGCCGCGUGAAGGAAGAAGGUUUUCGGAUCGUAAACUUCUAUCCUUGGUGAAGAUAAUGACGGUAGCCAAGAAGGAAGCCCCGGCUAACUACGUGCCAGCAGCCGCGGUAAUACGUAGGGGGCAAGCGUUGUCCGGAAUGAUUGGGCGUAAAGGGCGCGUAGGCGGCCCGGUAAGUCUGAAGUGAAAGUCCUGCUUUUAAGGUGGGAAUUGCUUUGGAUACUGUCGGGCUUGAGUGCAGGAGAGGUAAGCGGAAUUCCGAGUGUAGCGGUGAAAUGCAUAGAUAUUAGGAGGAACACCAGUGGCGAAGGCGGCUAACUGGACUGUAACUGACGCUGAGGCGCGAAAGUGUGGGGAGCAAACAGGAUUAGAUACCCUGGUAGUCC